UGAGCUCAAGAGUUUGAAUCUAGUC
rnacentral:piRNA from 1 species